rnacentral:tRNA from 1 species
GCCUGGUUGGCUCAGUCAGUAGAACAUGUGACUCUUGAUCUCGAGGUCAUGCGUUCAAGCCCCAUAUUGGGUG